AGUACUGUACCAUAGUCAGUAGCGAGAUAUGGAUGAAGAGGCAUGGCAUACAUAUGGUGAGCUACAACAAUGGUUAAAGAGCAUAACAUAGCUAAAUUAAUAGAUAAUUGAGCAUGACAUGACGUUGUUAGGAUUUCAUAGAGCCCUUUAUGGCCCUGGCCUGUAAAUGGACCUUUAUGAGCCUCUAAAAUAUCUUUCAGGCCAUGACCAAUCCCCCAGUUAGUAUUAUACAUGUGACAGAGGAUGCAAGCGUUAUCCGGAAUGAUUGGGCGUAAAGCGUCUGUAGGUGGAUUUUCAAGUCCGUUGUCAAAUCCCAGGGCUCAACCCUGGACAUGCGGUGGAAACUACCAAGCUGGAGUACGGUAGGGGCAGGGGGAAUUUCCGGUGGAGCGAUGAAAUGCAUAGAGAUCGGAAAGAACACCAACGACGAAAUCACUCUGCUGGGUCGACACUGACACUGAGAGAUGAAAUUUAGGGGAGCGAAUGGGAUUAGAUACCCCAGUAGUCCUAGCCGUAAACAAUGGAUACUAGGCGCUGUGCGUAUUGACCCGUGCAGUGCUGCAGUUAACGCGUUAAGUAUCCCGCCCGGGGAGUACGUUCGCAAGAAUGAAAAUCAAAGGAAUUGACGGGGGCCCGCACAAGCAGUGGAGCAUGUGGUUUAAUUCGAUGCAAAGCGAAGAACCCUACCAGGGCUUGACAUGUUGCGAAUCCUCUUGAAAGAGAGGGGUGCCUUAGAGAACGCGGAUACAGGUGGUGCAUGGAUGUCGUCAUCUCGUGCCGUAAGGUGUUGGGUUAAGUCCCGCAACGAGCGCAACCCUCGUGUUUAGUUGCCACCAUUGAGUUUGGAACCCUGAACAGACUGCCGGUGAUAAGCCGGAGGAAGGUGAGGAUGACGUCAAGUCAUCAUGCCCCUUAUGCCCUGGGCGACACACAUGCUACAAUGGCCGGGAAAAAGGGUCGCGAUCCCACAAGGGUGAGCUAACCCAAAAAACCCGUCCUCAGUUCGGAUUGCAGGCUGCAACUCGCCUGCAUGAAGCCGGAAUCGCUAGUAAUCGUCGGUCAUCCAUACGGCGGUGAAUUCGUUCUAGGGCCUUAUACACACCGCCCGUCACACUAUGGGAGCUGGCCAUGCCCGAAGUCUUUACCUUAACCGCAAGGAGGUGUAUGCCGAAGUAAGGGCUAGUGACUGGAUUGAAGUCGUAACAAGGUAGCCGUACUGGAAGGUGCGGCUG
rnacentral:rRNA from 1 species